UGUGUGUUAGUGGAAGCGUCUGGAAAGGCGCGCGAUACAGGGUGACAGCCCCGUACACAAAAAUGCACAUGCUGUGAGCUCGAUGAGUAGGGCGGGACACGUGGUAUCCUGUCUGAAUAUGGGGGGACCAUCCUCCAAGGCUAAAUACUCCUGACUGACCGAUAGUGAACCAGUACCGUGAGGGAAAGGCGAAAAGAACCCCGGCGAGGGGAGUGAAAAAGAACCUGAAACCGUGUACGUACAAGCAGUGGGAGCCUCUUUAUGGGGUGACUGCGUACCUUUUGUAUAAUGGGUCAGCGACUUAUAUUCUGUAGCAAGGUUAACCGAAUAGGGGAGCCGAAGGGAAACCGAGUCUUAACUGGGCGUUAAGUUGCAGGGUAUAGACCCGAAACCCGGUGAUCUAGCCAUGGGCAGGUUGAAGGUUGGGUAACACUAACUGGAGGACCGAACCGACUAAUGUUGAAAAAUUAGCGGAUGACUUGUGGCUGGGGGUGAAAGGCCAAUCAAACCGGGAGAUAGCUGGUUCUCCCCGAAAGCUAUUUAGGUAGCGCCUCGUGAAUUCAUCUCCGGGGGUAGAGCACUGUUUCGGCAAGGGGGUCAUCCCGACUUACCAACCCGAUGCAAACUGCGAAUACCGGAGAAUGUUAUCACGGGAGACACACGGCGGGUGCUAACGUCCGUCGUGAAGAGGGAAACAACCCAGACCGCCAGCUAAGGUCCCAAAGUCAUGGUUAAGUGGGAAACGAUGUGGGAAGGCCCAGACAGCCAGGAUGUUGGCUUAGAAGCAGCCAUCAUUUAAAGAAAGCGUAAUAGCUCACUGGUCGAGUCGGCCUGCGCGGAAGAUGUAACGGGGCUAAACCAUGCACCGAAGCUGCGGCAGCGACGCUUAUGCGUUGUUGGGUAGGGGAGCGUUCUGUAAGCCUGCGAAGGUGUACUGUGAGGUAUGCUGGAGGUAUCAGAAGUGCGAAUGCUGACAUAAGUAACGAUAAAGCGGGUGAAAAGCCCGCUCGCCGGAAGACCAAGGGUUCCUGUCCAACGUUAAUCGGGGCAGGGUGAGUCGACCCCUAAGGCGAGGCCGAAAGGCGUAGUCGAUGGGAAACAGGUUAAUAUUCCUGUACUUGGUGUUACUGCGAAGGGGGGACGGAGAAGGCUAUGUUGGCCGGGCGACGGUUGUC
rnacentral:rRNA from 1 species